CAGGGAAUAUUGCACAAUGGGCGAAAGCCUGAUGCAGCAACGCCGCGUGAGGGAUGAAGGUCUUCGGAUUGUAAACCUCUUUUCUGGGGGAAGAGAAGGGACGGUACCUCAGGAAUAAGACACGGCUAACUACGUGCCAGCAGCCGCGGUAAUACGUAGGUGUCGAGCGUUAUUCGGAUUUACUGGGCGUAAAGCGCACCGAGGUGGCUUCUUAAGUUGGAUGUGAAAUCUCCCGGCUUAACCGGGAGGGGCCAUUCAAAACUGAGGAGCUUGAGGUCAGCAGGGGAAAGUGGAAUUCCCGGUGCAGUGGUGGAAUGCGUAGAGAUCGGGAGGAACACCAGUGGCGAAAGCGGCUUUCUGGGCUGCACCUGACACUCUAGUGCGAAAGCGUGGGGAGCAAACAGGAUUAGAUACCCUGGUAGUCCACGCCCUAAACGAUGGAUACUAGGUGUGGGAGGUAUUGACCCCUUCCGUGCCGAAGCCAACGCGUUAAGUAUCCCGCCUGGGGACUACGGCCGCAAGGUUAA
rnacentral:rRNA from 1 species